GACGAACGCUGGCGGCGUGCCUAACACAUGCAAGUCAGGGAGAAAGGGGUAGCAAUAUCCCGAGUAAACCGGCGCACGGGUGAGUAACACGUAGGUAACCUACCUUCUGAAUGGGGACAACCCCGCGAAAGCGGGACUAAUACCCAAUGAUGCAGCGGCUCCACAUGGCGAUGUUGUUAAAGGUUGUAGCUCCGCAAGGAGUUGCAACGUCAGAAGAUGGACCUGCGUCCCAUUAGCUUGUUGGUGGGGUAACGGCCUACCAAGGCAACGAUGGGUAGCUGGUCUGAGAGGACGACCAGCCACACUGGAACUGAGGCACGGUCCAGACUCCUACGGGAGGCAGCAGUGAGGAAUAUUGCGCAAUGCCCGAAAGGGUGACGCAGCGACGCCGCGUGGAGGAUGAAGGCCCUAUGGGUCGUAAACUCCUAAUGGAGAGGAAGAAUGUUCCGCCUUGGGCGGAAUUGACGGUACUCUCUAAGAAAGGACCGGCCAACUACGUGCCAGCAGCCGCGGUAAUACGUAGGGUCCGAGCGUUGUCCGGAAUCACUGGGUGUAAAGGGCGCGCAAGCGGGUGAAUAAGUCGGUGGUGAAAGCUGUUCGCUCAACGGACAAACCGCCGUCGAUACUGUUCAUCUUGAGUGCGGGAGAGGGUGAUGGAAUUCCUGGUGUAGCGGUGAAAUGCGUAGAUAUCAGGAAGAACACCUGUUGCGAAGGCGGUCACCUGGUCCGCAACUGACGCCCAGUGCGCGAAAGCGUGGGGAGCAAACAGGAUUAGAUACCCUGGUAGUCCACGCCCUAAACGAUGGGUACUAGGUGUCGGCCCCGCUCGGUACUUGCGAGACGAGUUCCGAGCGGGGUCGGUGCCGAAGCUAACGCAUUAAGUACCUCACCUGGGGAGUACGAUCGCAAGGUUGAAACUCAAAGGAAUUGACGGGGGCCCGCACAAGCAGUGGAGCAUGUGGUUCAAUUCGAUGCAACGCGAAGAACCUUACCUGGGCUUGAAAGGCAAGUGACAGGUGAUGAAAGUCGCCCUCCCCGCAAGGGGCACUUGUACAGGUGCUGCAUGGCUGUCGUCAGCUCGUGCCGUGAGGUGUUGGGUUAAGUCCCGCAACGAGCGCAACCCCUGUCCUUAGUUGCCAUCAGGUCAAGCUGGGCACUCUAGGGAGACUGCCUACGCAAGUAGUGAGGAAGGUGGGGAUGACGUCAAGUCCUCAUGGCCCUUAUGUCCAGGGCAACACACGUGCUACAAUGGCCGCUACAACGGGUCGCAAUACCGCAAGGUGGAGCCAAUCCCUAAAAAGCGGUCUCAGUUCGGAUUGCAGUCUGCAACUCGACUGCAUGAAGCUGGAAUUGCUAGUAAUCGCGCAUCAGCACGGCGCGGUGAAUACGUUCCCGGGCCUUGUACACACCGCCCGUCAAGCCAUGGAAACUGGGGGUACCCGAAGUCACUGACCGAACCCGCAAGGGGCGGAGGUGCCGAAGGUAAAACCAGCGACUGGGGC
rnacentral:rRNA from 1 species